rnacentral:rRNA from 1 species
GACGAACGCUGGCGGCGUGCCUAAUACAUGCAAGUGGGACGCAAGGGAACACACUGUGCUUGCACACCGUGUUUUCUUGAGUCGCGAACGGGUGAGUAACGCGUAGGUAACCUGCCUAUUAGCGGGGGAUAACUAUUGGAAACGAUAGCUAAUACCGCAUAAUAUUAAUUAUUGCAUGAUAAUUGAUUGAAAGAUGCAAGCGCAUCACUAGUAGAUGGACCUGCGUUGUAUUAGCUAGUUGGUAAGGUAAGAGCUUACCAAGGCGACGAUACAUAGCCGACCUGAGAGGGUGAUCGGCCACACUGGGACUGAGACACGGCCCAGACUCCUACGGGAGGCAGCAGUAGGGAAUCUUCGGCAAUGGACGAAAGUCUGACCGAGCAACGCCGCGUGAGUGAAGAAGGUUUUCGGAUCGUAAAGCUCUGUUGUAAGUCAAGAACGUGUGUGAGAGUGGAAAGUUCACACAGUGACGGUAGCUUAC